GAGGAGAGCGCCCGGUCUCGGUUCUGCCGUGUACUGGGCUGCUCGAUUCUUUCUUCUGGGGAAGCGGGGUGCCCUUCACUGCGGUGCCCCGGGGAACCAGGACGAUUACCUUGAGAAAAAUAGAGUGUUCAAAGCAGGCCUUUGCUUGAAUACGUUAGCAUGGAAUAAUAAAAUAGGACUUUGGUUCUAUUUUGUUGGUUUUAAGGACCAAUGUC
rnacentral:rRNA from 1 species